rfam:Streptococcus henryi strain A-4 genome assembly, contig: IE83DRAFT_scaffold00048.48
GGUAUUGUUUACCCCAUUUGAAAGGCCCCGGAACCUUCCAAAUAACUUUUGGUGGGACGGAACACCCGCCACCCGUAAACAAAUA